rnacentral:rRNA from 1 species
GUGGCGAACGGGUGAGUAACACGUGGGUGAUCUGCCCUCCACUUUGGGAUAAGCCUGGGAAACUGGGUCUAAUACCCCAUAUAACACCUGGUUGCAUG